UCUUUGUUGGUGCAGUGGUAAGCACACGCGCAACACACGCGUUGACAACGUGAUAGACUGGGUCCGAUUCCCAGACAGAGAG
rnacentral:tRNA from 1 species